CCAUACCAUCUUGUAAUAAUGUAAUAUUCUUUUCAAGAUGUAUUUGUAAAUGGGGCCCUUCUGUGGUCUUGUGAAGUGUACUACCACCUGGGAAAAGCCACCUUAGACAUUUGUCAGUGAGAUUCAGCAAAGGUAUCGUUACAUUCCAUUCAAUAACUACCCAUUCACCUUCUGAGCCACUUAUGAUAUUGUUAGUGGUAUUAACAGUGACAGAUUUAUUUACAAUACCCAGAUUAAUUAUAGUAACUG